CAGGGAUAGCCCUCAAGGAGUGGGGGAAUAACCAAAAGAACGCCCCUCUGCUCCGCCCAUCGGCGGUAGGGCGUCAUCGAUUGGCUAUUUCGAGGAACGCGCCAAAAACUGCCAGGGACUGUAGGGAGGUGUAACCUCGCGUCACUUCCGAGAUACUUCCGGGUCACCGUUUCCGGACCUUUUCAGUUCCGGAACUUCCUGUUGGCGCAGCCAUUUUGACUUCCUGACCUUGGGCUCCUGCUGCAGAUUGUCUGUGGUCUCAUCCGUGUGAUCAUGUCUGUCUUGACGCCGCUGUUGCUGAGGGGCCUGACAGGCCCGGCCCGGUGGCUCCUCGUGCCGCGCGCCCAGGUCCAUUCCAAGCCGCCGCGGGAGCAGCUCGGGACCAUGGUGAGGAGAGGGCUGGGAAGGGCUCAGGAGGCGCCGCGGGCCCCGCUGUGGGUUCGGGGCCUGCCGGUUCCGGCGCGCGGGACCCCGGGCGGCCCUGAGAGUGUCCUGCACCUCGCAGCCCGCAGCGUAGCAAGAAGCUGCUGUGCUGGUUGGGCCUGUCUGAAGGGCGCAAACGCGGGGACACUGCCCGGGUGCUCAUCAGCAUGGAGUCUUUCCCAAAGCCCUAGGAUCUUUGGUCCGACCCUGUUAGUCCCAGCCCUGUCGCUCACUCGUUGUGCAGCUUCGAGCAAACUUCCUUAGCCCUUUCAGCCUGUUUACUAUGCAUUCGUUCGGGAGGACUGUCAGCGGUAUGGCUGUUACCGCCAUUAAAUAUUAAUUGCUGGGGAGGGAGGCAAGCAGGUCUUUGGGUUUCCAGAAACGUAGGAUCGUUUAACUCUUGAUGACAACUUCCACCUGUUUGGAGCUUUUGUACAUCUGCUAUAGUAGCAGAACUUGGACCUGGAUUUAAGUCUUCAGAACCCAGGUUUGUGGACCUUGGGUUAGGAAAAACAGAGAGCACUGCACCUCAGAAAAUAAUGAUAAUCAAGGCAUGCGUUUAGCCCUAGCUACUGGAGAAGCUGAAGCAGGAGGGUUGAUUAACUGGGCAAUGUAGUGAAAUCCUGCUCAAAAAAGGAAAAAAAAACUUGACUGGGGGUGUAACUCAGUGGUAGAGGAUGUGUUUUGCAUGGUGAGGCCCUUGGGUUGAUUUCUAGCACCCCAGAAACAAAAAUAGUGAUAAUCACUGGGACUCUCAUUUGUUGAGUGCCUGCUGUGUGCUAGGCACCCUAAAACUCCUGUACUGGUUUCAUUCAUGCUUUCUAGUGACCCUGAAAAGAAUAGAUGAUUGUCUCCAUUUCUUGAUUGAGGAACCAGAAACAUAGGAGCAGGGUGUUGACUUGUCAGAAGUCACACUUUAAGUGGCAAGGAAGGGAUUUGAAUUCAAGACUGACUUCAAAUUAUUCUGAUCUUAACUGCUAUGGAGAAGAUGGUAGUAGCUGUAUCUGGUGUAGUAGCAUAUUACAGUAUGCCUAUAAUCCCAGCUACUCUGGAGGCUGGGUCAGGAGGAUCACCCAUUUCAAGUUUGAGGCCAGCCUCUACAAUUUAGCAAGAUCCUGUCUAAAAAAUAAAGAAGACUGGGGAUGUAGCUCAGUGCAGGGUACUUGCCUACUUGCCUAGCAUGUACACACCCCAGGGUUUGAUCCCUAGCAUUGGAGACAAAAAAAUAAGUCACUUAUCCCUAAUCUCAGAGACCCUGAUAGGUCUUUGGGUUUAUAGAAAUGUAGUAUCCUACAGUCCUAGAGAGGUGGAUUUUUUUUUUUUCCCUUGCUCACAAUACUGGGGAUUUAACCCAUGGGCUCCCUACCACUGAGAUACAUCACCAGCGCCCCCCACCCCUCUUUUUUUUUUUUUUUUUUUAAGACAUGGCCUCCAACUUGUGACCCUCCUGCUCAGCUUCCCUAGUAGCUGGGAUCACAGAUGUGCAUCACCAUCCCAGGUUAAGGGAGUAAAGGGAGGGUUUUUGGCGGGGGGAGGCUACUGGGGAUUGAACUCAGGGACAGUCAACCCCCGAGCCACAUCUCCAGCCCUGUUUUGUAUUUUAUUUAGAGACAGGGUCUCACUGAGUUGCUUAGCACCUUGCUUUUGCCAGAGCCAGCAUUGAACUCUCGAUCCUCCUGCCUCAGCCUCCCAAGCCGCUGGAAGGGAGGAGUUUUAAGACAAGGAAGGUGCAGUUGUAGAAUUAACCAAGUUUCCAGGUCUUGACAGACCAACUUGAAAACAGGUUUAAAUCCUCAUGUUUGUCCCCCUCUGACUUAUCAUUGGGUGAUAGAUACUCCCUGGGUUCUAACACAGGCUGCUGCUCUUUCCAGUCCUUUGUCCCCAUAGCUGUAAUUGACUCCUUAUAUGGAGGCUUAGAGUAGCUUGGGUCUGUGACGUCCUCUUUCCUGAGGCAUGGGUUCCCUCCCUUCCUGAUUAACCCAGAGCCCUUCUGUGCUAAGCACCUGCUCUACCAUGUGGGAAGGUUGGAUCUCCUACCUGCCUCUGAGUCUUGGCUCCCUGAGGAGGCUGGCCACUGACAGCACUGCUGGGACUUCAGAGUGCCUGGGGGGAUCUUUACCCUUGGGGUCCUUCUUUUCUUGUGCUCUGUGUAGGAUAUCACCAUUGGGCUCACCUCCUGCUUCCUGUGUUUCCUCCUGCCGGCCGGCUGGGUCCUGUCACACCUGGAGAGCUACAAGAAGCGGGAGUGAAGGGGUCUGUUCUCUCCCUCGCCCUGUGACCUGACCACCCCUGCCAGCCCAUCCUGACCAUGUCUGCAUUCCUGGCUGGCUUCUCCUGGAUCAUGUCGUUCAAUUCCAGUCACCUCUUCUGUAAUCAUGAUUUCUCAGUGUUUCCAUGGUGACAUCUGGGACCACUAUAUUGGCCCUGCCUGGUGGGGUUCCCCUUGUAACAAUAAAAUCUAUUUAAACCUUGCUUCAGAA
rnacentral:lncRNA from 1 species